GCGGGCUGAUAACGUUGUUUCAGGGAGACACCUAGGGUUUGCGCCGACCCCUCCUCCCUCGGUCUUUGUGAAGAAAGCAGGGCUUCGCGCCUGCGCGGCGGGUAGCUGCGCCUUACGUCCCUUCGAGUCUAGAGUUUGGCAAAGCGUUCUACAGCGGCUUCUGACUUAUGGCUUCGGAUAGUGGGAUUGGGGAAUCGCCGUAGAGGGGCGCCAGUGGUGCCUGGACCACCCGGAUGGAUCCGUGGAUCUCUGUAUAAACGGGAAUUUAUAUCAAUGAGUACACAAAUCAGAAAAGAAGAAAGAUCUAAAAUAAUCUGAGAUUCCACCUUGGAAAACUAGAAGAACAAGUUAAAUUCAAAGUAAACAGAAGAGAAAAAAUAAUAAAAAGCAGAAAUCAAUGAAAUUGAAAACAAAAUGAAAAGAAUAUCAACAAAAUCUAAAGCUGAUUUUUUUUGGAAAGGUCAGUGAAACUGAUAAACCUCUAGCCUGGCUAGCAAAAGAGAAAAAAUAAAUAGUCAAUAUCAGAAAUUAAAUAAGAGACAUUACAUUACUACAGACCCCAUGGACAUGAAAACGAUAGUAAAGGAAUACUAUGAAUAACUAUCCACAAAUUUGAUAACCUAGACAUGAUGGACACAUUUCUUGAAAGCACACUCUGUCAAAACCCACAAGAGGAAAUAGACCACUUAAAUAUGUUUAUAUCUAAUUAAUUGAAUCAGUAAUUAAUAACAUCCAAACAGAAAGCAUUGAGCCCAGAUUGUUACACUGAUAAGUUCUACCAAAUAUUUCAAAAACAAGUUGUACCAAUUCUAUGCCAUCUCUUUUAUAAGAUAGAAACAAAAGGAAUACUUCCCGACUCAUCCUAUGAGGCAAAGAUUACCCUAAUGUCAAAACCACACAAAGACAUUACAAGAAAGAAAAAACAAAAUAUCUCUUGUGAAUAUAGAUGCAAAAAUCCUCAAUCGAAUAUUAGCAAAUUGAAAUCCACAAUGUAUCAAAAGAACUGUACACCAUGAUAAAGUGGAAUUUAUUAGAGCUAGGCAAGACUAGUUUAAUGUUCAAAAUCAAUUAAUAUAAUCCCAUAGGCUAAAGAAAAAUCAUGUGAUCAUACUGCUAGAUGCAGAAAAAGCAUUUGACAAAAUCCAACACCAGUUCAUGAUAAAAAGUUUCAGCACUCUAGGAAUAGAGGGACACAUUCUCAACUUGAUAAAGACCAUAAACAGGAACCUUACAGCUAACGUAAGAAUUAAUGGUGAGAACCUAGAUGCUUUUCUGCUGGAAUCGGGAAUAACACAAGACUGUUUGCUCACACCAUUCCUAGUCAACACUGUACUGGAAAUCGUGCUAAUGCAAUUAGACAAUAAAAGGAAAUAAAAGUUGUACAGACUGAAGAGGAAGAAAUAAGAUGGUCUGUCUUUACAGGUGACAUAAUUAUUUAUGUAGAAAUUGAUGAAAGAAUUGCCAAAUCAAUGUCCUGGAACUAAGAAGCAAUGAGAACAAGAUUGCAGAUACAAAGUUAAUAUGUAAAAGUCUAUUCCUUUUCUAUAUACCUGUAAUGAUCGAGUGGAACAAGAAAUUUAAAGCACAAUACCAUUUAUAUUAGCACCCCCAUAAAAUACUUAGGUAUAAAUCUAACAAGAUAUGUACAAAUUCUAUAUGAGGAAAACUACAAAAUUCUGAUGAAAGAAAUCCAUGAAGAAUUAAAUAAAUAUAGAGACAUUCUAUAUCCAUGGACUGGAAAACUCAAUAUUAUCAAGAUAUCAAUUCUUCCUAAAUUAAUCUGUAGAUCCAAUGCAAUCCCAGUCAAAAUCAUGGCUAGUUAUUUUGUGGAUCUCAAAAAACCAGUUCUAAAGUUUAUGUGGAAAGACAAAAGACCCAGAAGAACCAACAUGUUGUUGAAGAAGAAGUAAGUCAGAGGACAGAUAAACCCAACUUCAAGAUUACCGUAAAUCAAAAGUAAUCAAGACAGUAUGAUGUUUUUUAAAGAAUAAACAAAUAGAUAAAUGGAAUAGAAUAGGAUUCCCAGAAAUAGACACACCUACAGUCAACUGACCUUUCAAAAAAAGAAAGGCAAUCCAGUGGUUCAAAGAGUCUUUUCAACAAUGAGCACUAGAACAACUGUACAUCCACAUGCAAAAACAAAAACAAAUCCAGGUACAGAUCUUACACCAUUCACAGAAGCCAACUCAAAUGGAUCAUGGACCUAAAUGGAAAAACACAAAGCAAUAAAACUCCUAGAAGACAAUACAUCUAGGUGACCUUGGGCAACAUGAUUACGUUUUAGACUCAAAACAAAAAGCAUAAUUCAUGAAAGAAAUAAUUGAAAAACUAGACAUAAUUAAUUUUUUUUGCUCUGUGAAAGACACUGUGAAGAGAAUGUGAAGAUAGGCCACAGACUGGGGAAACCAUUUGCAAAAGAUACCUCCGAUAAAGGGCUCUUACCCAAAACACACUAAGAGCUCUUGAGACUCAACAACAAGAAAAAGAACAACCCAAUUAAAACACGGAUAAAAGAUCUGAGCGGACAUCUCUCUUUUUUUUUAUAUAACUUCUAAAGUUGUAUCUUCAGUCUGAGCAGACAUCUCAUCAAACAAGACAUACACAUGGCAAAUAAGUAUAUGAAAACAUGCCCAACAUCAUAUGUCAUUGGGGAACUGCAAAUUAAACAAGAAUAGGAUAUUACUACACACCUAUUAGAAUGGUGAAAAUCCAAAAUACUGCACACACCAAAUGCUGGUGAGGAUGCAGAGCAACAGGAGCUUUCAUUCAUUGCUGGUGGAAAUGCAAACUGGUACAGCUGCUUUGGAAGAUGGUUUGGUCGUUUUCACAAAAGUAAACAUUCUCUCACCACACAAUCCAGCAAUUGCACUCCUUGGUGUUUACCCGAAAGAGUUGAAAACCUAUGUCCAUACAAAAUCUGCACAGGGAUGUUUAUAGCAAGUUUAUUCGUAAUUGCCAAAACUUGGAAGGAACCAAGAUGUCCUUGAGUAGGUGAAGGAAUAAAUAAUCUGUGGUACAUCCAGAUAAUGAAGAAUUAUUUCAGCACUAAAAAGAAUUCAGCAAUCAAGCCAUUAAGAGACAUGGAAGAAACAUAAAUGUGUAUUACUAAGAAAAAGAAGUCAAUCUGAGAAGGCUAUGUCAAAUCUAAAUAACAGGCAGAGAGGGAGACUUUCUAAAAGAAAAUGGUGUUUGGGAAUAGGCAUUGCAAUGAGAAUAAGUGUGGGUAUAUUCAGAGAGGUAAAGGAAGACAAGAAUUUUUUUGUCAAAUGGAGUCUUGCUCUUUCACCAGGCUGGAGUGCAGUGGUGCAAUCUUGGCUCACUGCAACCCCAUCUCCCAGAUUCAAGCGAUUCCCCUGCCUUAGCCUCCUGAGUAGCUGGGACUAUAGGCACAAGCCACCAUGCCGGCUAAUUUUUUUUUUUUUUUUGUAUUUUAGUAGAGACGGGGUUUCACCAUGGCCAGGAUGGUCUCGAUCUCGUGACCUCAUGAUCCGCCAGCGUUGACCUCCCAAAGUGCUGGGUUUUGUAGCCCCAGGAAUUCAACAGCAUAACCUCCAUCUCUGCCUUCGUUUUCACUUGAUGUUCUCCACGUGUGUCUGCGUCUUCAUAAGGACUACUUCUUAUAACGGCAGUGGUCACACUGGAUUAGGAACCCACCCUAUCCCAAAAUGACCUCGUCUUCUUUACAGAAGUUGUGGCAAAAUAUACGUGGUAUCAGAAGUGGAAUCCGAAGUGGAGCUUCGAGCAACCCAAAGGAGCACUGAGUGAACACACAAGGU